rnacentral:tRNA from 1 species
AUUAUUUUGGCAGAAUAAAUGCCUUAAAUUUAGAAUUUAAUAAUAUGUUUUAUAACAUAAAUAAUA